rnacentral:rRNA from 1 species
GACGAACGCUGGCGGCGUGCCUAAUACAUGCAAGUCGAACGCAGUGGGGACGGGUGAGUAACACGUGGGUAACCUCCCAUCAGAGGGGAUAACACUUGGAAACAGGUGCUAAACCGAUACUGAUGGAUGGACCCGCAGUGCAUUAGCUAGUUGGUGAGGUAACGGCUCACCAAGGCCACGAGGCAUAUCCGGCCUGAGAGGUGUCACAGCCACAAUGGGACUGAGACACGGCCCAGAAGCCUACGGGAGGCAGCAGUAGGGAAUCUUCGGCAAUGGGCGAAAGUCUGACCGAGCAACGCAGCGUGAGUGAAGAAGGUUUUCGGAUCGUAAAACACUGUUGUUAGAGAAGCGGUAUCUAACCAGAAAGCCACGGCUAACUACGUGCCAGCAGCCGCGGUAAUAC